AAAAACUUUGAUGUGCUUAUGGGAUUUUCAUCCAUUUUAUUUAAGGAUACGAAUAUGAAGGCUUCAUUCAUGUGUUAUUGUGAUUCACUUAGAAACAUUUAUAUUUUAUGAUGAAUAAUGGAGUGAUUUUGAAUUUCUAUGGAGCAAUAAAAAGAUUUAUGAAGUUGUAACAAACAAUGACAAAAAGGAAUGGAUGAAAAAAUAAGACCAGGGAGACACCACACUUUUAAUCCAAGAAGAUGA
rnacentral:lncRNA from 1 species